CCUACGGGAUGCAGCAGUGAGGAAUAUUGGUCAAUGGGCGCGAGCCUGAACCAGCCAAGUAGCGUGAAGGAUGACUGCCCUACGGGUUGUAACUUCUUUUAUAAAGGCAUAAAGUGAGGCACGUGUGCCUUUUUGUAUGUACUUUAUGAAUAAGGAUCGGCUAACUCCGUGCCAGCAGCCGCGGUAAUACGGAGGAUCCGAGCGUUGUCCGGAUUUAUUGGGUUUAAAGGGAGCGUAGAUGGGUUGUUAAGUCAGUUGUGAAAUUUUGCGGCUCAACCGUAAAAUUGCAAGUGAUAUUGGCAGCCUUGAGUAAAGUUGAGGUAGGCGGAAUUCGUGGUGUAGCGGUGAAAUGCUUAGAUAUCACGAAGAACUCCGAUUGCGAAGGCAGCUUACUAAACUGCCACUGACAUUGAUGCUCGAAAGUGUGGGUAUCAAACAGGAUUAGAUACCCUGGUAGUC
rnacentral:rRNA from 1 species